CGAUUUUUUCUUCUCCUUUCUUCUUCAUCAGCCACCACUCCUUCGGUGGGUCUUCUUCAGCAAAAGCAAAAAUCACUUUAUUCUUCAGCCACCACUCCUUCGACGACUCGACGUCCAGAUUCUCAAGGUUUAUCUACAUAUCAUUUUUAUACAAAAUGUCUCAAGACCCGGCUAGGAAAUAUGCAAGAGCUGAUUCGGAUACCAGACAUAAACUUACAUGCAACUUUCUACGGAUCAUUUUGGAACUUUGAUGAUUUUUGAUAAUAAAAUUCAGUUAUUUAGUUA